rnacentral:rRNA from 1 species
AGGCAGCAGUAAGGAAUAUUGGUCAAUGGACGCAAGUCUGAACCAGCCAUGCCGCGUGGAGGAUUAAGGCCCUCUGGGUUGUAAACUCCUUUUAUCUGGGAAGAAAUCCAUGUAUUCUUAUGUGGUUGACGGUACCAGAGGAAUAAGCACCGGCUAACUCCGUGCCAGCAGCCGCGGUAAUACGGAGGGUGCAAGCGUUAUCCGGAUUUACUGGGUUUAAAGGGUGCGUAGGCGGACAGGUAAGUCCGUGGUGAAAUCUCUGAGCUUAACUCAGAAACUGCCAUGGAUACUAUUUGUCUUGAAUACUGUGGAGGUAAGCGGAAUAUGUCAUGUAGCGGUGAAAUGCUUAGAUAUGACAUGGAACACCAAUUGCGAAGGCAGCUUACUACACAAAUAUUGACGCUGAGGCACGAAAGCGUGGGGAUCAAACAGGAUUAGAUACCCUGGUAG